rnacentral:rRNA from 1 species
CGAGUAACACGUAUCCAACCUGCCGUCUACUCUUGGCCAGCCUUCUGAAAGGAAGAUUAAUCCAGGAUGGCAUCAUGAGUCCGCAUGUUCACAUGAUUAAAGGUAUUCCGGUAGACGAUGGGGAUGCGUUCCAUUAGAUAGUAGGCGGGGUAACGGCCCACCUAGUCUUCGAUGGAUAGGGGUUCUGAGAGGAAGGUCCCCCACAUUGGAACUGAGACACGGUCCAA